CACGUAGGGGACGAGCGUUGUCCGGAUUCAUUGGGCGUAAAGCGCGCGUAGGCGGCUCGGGAAAAGUCGGGCGUGAAAUGCCGGGGCUCAACCCCGGGACUGCGUCCGAUACUUCCGAGCUGGAGGUAGGUAGGGGAGAUCGGAAUUCCUGGUGUAGCGGUGAAAUGCGCAGAGUAUCAGGAGGAACACCGGUGGCGAAGGCGGACUCUGGGCCG
rnacentral:rRNA from 1 species